CUGGCUCAGGAUGAACGCUGGCGGUAUGCUUAACACAUGCAAGUCGAACGGUGUCUUCGGACAUAGUGGCGGACGGGUGAGUAACGCGUGAGAAUCUAGCUUCAGGUCUGGGACAACCACUGGAAACGGUGGCUAAUACCGGAUGUGCCGGAAGGUGAAAGGCUUGCUGCCUGAAGAUGAGCUCGCGUCCGAUUAGCUAGUAGGUGGGGUAAGAGCCUACCUAGGCGACGAUCGGUAGCUGGUCUGAGAGGAUGACCAGCCACACUGGGACUGAGACACGGCCCAGACUCCUACGGGAGGCAGCAGUGGGGAAUUUUCCGCAAUGGGCGAAAGCCUGACGGAGCAAUACCGCGUGAGGGAGGAAGGCUCUUGGGUUGUAAACCUCUUUUCUCAGGGAAGAACACAAUGACGGUACCUGAGGAAUCAGCAUCGGCUAACUCCGUGCCAGCAGCCGCGGUAAUACGGAGGAUGCAAGCGUUAUCCGGAAUGAUUGGGCGUAAAGCGUCCGCAGGUGGCUGUGUAAGUCUGCUGUCAAAGAGCAAAGCUCAACUUUGUAAAGGCAGUGGAAACUACACGGCUAGAGUGCGUUCGGGGCAGAGGGAAUUCCUGGUGUAGCGGUGAAAUGCGUAGAGAUCAGGAAGAACACCGGUGGCGAAGGCGCUCUGCUAGGCCGCAACUGACACUGAGGGACGAAAGCUAGGGGAGCGAAUGGGAUUAGAUACCCCAGUAGUCCUAGCUGUAAACGAUGGAUACUAGGCGUGGCUUGUAUCGACCCGAGCCGUGCCGUAGCUAACGCGUUA
rnacentral:rRNA from 1 species